rnacentral:rRNA from 1 species
GAUGAACGCUAGCGGCAGGCCUAAUACAUGCAAGACGAACGGUAAGUUGAGUAGCAAUACUUAGCCAAGAGUGUCGUACGGGUGCGUAACACGUAUGCAACCUACCCUAUACAGGAGGAUAGCCUAGGGAAACCUGGAUUAACCCUUCAUAGUAUUAUUGGAUGGCAUCAUUUGAUAAUUAAAACUGAGGUGGUAUAGGAUGGGCAUGCGUCUGAUUAGUUAGUUGGCGGGGUAAUGGCCCACCAAGACGAUGAUCAGUAGGGGUUCUGAGAGGAAGAUCCCCCACACUGGCACUGAGAUACGGGCCAGACUCCUACGGGAGGCAGCAGUAGGGAAUAUUGGUCAAUGGAUGCAAGUCUGAACCAGCCAUGCCGCGUGCAGGAAGAAGGCCUUCUGGGUUGUAAACUGCUUUUGCCA